rnacentral:rRNA from 1 species
UAGGGAAUCUUCGGCAAUGGACGAAAGUCUGACCGAGCAACGCCGCGUGAGUGAAGAAGGUUUUCGGAUCGUAAAACUCUGUUGUUAGAGAAGAACAAGGACGUUAGUAACUGAACGUCCCCUGACGGUAUCUAACCAGAAAGCCACGGCUAACUACGUGCCAGCAGCCGCGGUAAUACGUAGGUGGCAAGCGUUGUACGGAUUUAUUGGGCGUAAAGCGAGCGCAGGCGGUUUCUUAAGUCUGAUGUGAAAGCCCCCGGCUCAACCGGGGAGGGUCAUUGGAAACUGGGAGACUUGAGUGCAGAAGAGGAGAGUGGAAUUCCAUGUGUAGCGGUGAAAUGCGUAGAUAUAUGGAGGAACACCAGUGGCGAAGGCGGCUCUCUGGUCUGUAACUGACGCUGAGGCUCGAAAGCGUGGGGAGCAAACAGG